rnacentral:rRNA from 1 species
CGUCCAGACUCCUACGGGAGGCAGCAGUGAGGAAUAUUGGUCAAUGGUCGGGAGACUGAACCAGCCAAGCCGCGUGAGGGAGGAAGGUACAGAGUAUCGUAAACCUCUUUUGUCAGGGAACAAAGGCGGGGACGUGUCCCCGGAUGAGUGUACCUGAAGAAAAAGCAUCGGCUAACUCCGUGCCAGCAGCCGCGGUAAUACGUAUGGUGCAAGCGUUAUCCGGAUUUACUGGGUGUAAAGGGAGCGCAGGCGGUACGGCAAGUCUGAUGUGAAAGCCCGGGGCUCAACCCCGGUACUGCAUUGGAAACUACCGGACUGGAGUGUCGGAGGGGUAAGUGGAAUUCCUAGUGUAGCGGUGAAAUGCGUAGAUAUUAGGAGGAACACCAGUGGCGAAGGCGGCCUGCUGGGCUUUAACUGACGCUGAGGCUCGAAAGCGUGGGGAGCAAACAGGAUUAGAUACCCGCGUAC